UUUUGCAAAGUCGAACCCGAAGUGCAUAGCCUUAUGUGAAGUAAUCACAUCCCCUGAUCUGCACAAACAUGGAGACAUCUGGGUCGUUCCCAAUACCGACCACGUCUGUACACGCUUCUUCUUUGUUUAUGAAGAUGGCCAGGUGGGAGAUACGAGCAUCAACACACAAGACGCUGGCAUCCAUCGAGAGAUCCUACGAGUCAUCGGCAACCAGACCGCCACGGGAUGAACAACCGCUGCAAUACUGCUGCCUCUCCUCCAGCCUCCCAGGUCAAAGCUGGAUUUUUGAGCUGCGGAGGCGUUUCCUUCCGACCAAACGCGGAGAACACAAAAAACUACUUAGCAAAAGUUUGAAAUCCUCAAAAGAAAUAGCUACAGUGAAACCCACCACACAUAUUUACAACUGAAACACAACAAAACUCUUUAGGGAAGAACACAUUUUGCUAAGUUUCUAAAUACUAUGAAGAAUCGUGUUUUUCUGAAGACCGUACGUCUCUCAGUUUGACUGAUUUGGGACGAUUUCAUUUUUUUUGUAGAGAACAUUUAACAUUUUUUGGGGGGAAAAUAAUGAGGAAAAAGUUCCUUCCUGUCUAGGAAAAAGGUCCUUCCUGUCUAGGAAAAAGGUCCCAUCUAUCUGACCUUGUUUACUAUAGAGUUGUACCUUUUUUAAAAGUACAAUGUGUACUGAAGGUGUUAAUAUGCACUGUUUCUUAAUGUCAUAUAUUUGUUCCAACAACUGGUGUCGUAACCUGAAAAACUACAACUGAUUUUCCACUUGAUUAUUUUGGGCGGUGGUAUAUGGUGUAUAUGGUGUGUGUGUGUGGAUAUAUAUAUAUAUAUAUCAUAUAUUGGUAACCAUUCCAUGUAGACUGAGGCACACAGCAAUACAUUGAGUAGAAUAGACACAAAAUACCAGGAUUCAAGUCGGGACUGGGGAUGAUCUGCAUUUUAGAGCGGUUGACAUUUUUUUAAAGGUAAUUUCCCAUUUGAGCCGACAUCGGCAGUGUUUACUUAGAAGGCCAUCUCCUCGACCGUGGUAACAUUACCUUUAAAAUGGUGCGUAGCCCAAAAGGGGUGAGAGCUCUGACUGAGAUGUCGUCGCGAAAUGAGCAGAAAUGUAUGCCGUGUUAAUUUAGGAAGUAGAUCAGUUUUCCUUCACAUAUCAUACCAAGAAAUGUAUAUAUUGGUUGCUUCUCCUUUUAUAGGGGGGGUCUACUGGUUCACCAAUGGCAAAGACUUUGAUUGCAGUCAAGAAUUUAUACACAUUAAAGUAUGGAUGUGAUCCAUCUGCCAAUUCAGAAGUUCCACGCACUUAGCACUCACAACCAGUUUAAUACUUAUAAAAAUAAACAGUAAAACAUUUCAGAUUGAUAUUUGUACUUUGAUUUAAAAAUAUGGGUGGAUGUAUAAUCGAUGCCCCAAUUUAAAGAACAUUUUAAAGUGGUUACUUUCGUUAGGGGGUAUGGGGGUUUCUAUACGUACUAAGCCUGGGUGUUUGCUGCUUGUUGUUUUAUAUAUUGCUGUGAUUUUAAAGACCAAUCAGAGCUCAGUUGUGCUUUUAAAAAGACAAAAGACCAAUCAGAGCUCAGAUGUGCUUUUAAAAAGACCAAUCAGAGCUCAGAUGAAUGUAUACUACCCCUUGUGUUCAGUGUAAAUGAUAUAUCUCUAAGGAUGAUGCUGGUGUAAAGUAGACGUUGACAUUGGGCCAUAGAGGACACCAACCCUCCCGAGUGGCGCAGCGGUCCGGUCCUGGGCUCCCGAGUGGCGCAGCGGUCUAAGGCACUGCAUCUCAGUGCU